rnacentral:rRNA from 1 species
GGGAGUACACGAGCGGCGAACGGGUGAGUAACACGUGAGCAAUCUGCCCUUCACUUCGGGAUAACUCCGGGAAACCGGGGCUAAUACCGGAUACGACCUCUAAGGGCAUCCGAAGAGGUGGAAAGUUUUUCGGCUGAGGAUGGGCCCGCGGCCUAUCAGCUUGUUGGUGGGGUGACGGCCUACCAAGGCGACGACGGGUAGCCGGCCUGAGAGGGUGACCGGCCACACUGGGACUGAGACACGGCCCAG